UACGGGGGGGGCGAAGCAGUUGUUCGGUAAUUACUGGGCGUAAAGGGCUCGUAGCGGCCAACUAAGUCGGACGUGAAAUCCCCAGCUCAACCUGGGAACUGCGUCUGAUACUGGAUGGCUUGAAUCCGGGAGAGGGAUGCAGAAUUCAGGUGUAGCGGUGAAAUGCGUAGAUAUCUGGAGGAACACCUGUGGUGUAGACAGCUUACUGGACCACUUCUGACGCUGAGACACGAAAGCGUGGGUAGCAAACAGG
rnacentral:rRNA from 1 species